UGAUCCAUCCGCCACUUCACUGAAAGAUCGAAGAAAAGAAAAAACUAAAAAUGAAAGACCUAUCUUCUCACAAAUGACAAUCAACCAAAAAGGAAACAAAAAGCAAACCUAAAUUCUACACUAAGAACGGCAGCCCCAAAGCCCAAAAAAUCUCGGCGACACCCUUCUUCACAAAAGAACGGCAAGGGCCAAAAUUCAUCCAAAAAAAAACCUUAAUUUCCGAAGCAGCACCCACCUCCAGCAUCAACGCUUGUUGUUUCCCCUUCUUCAAAAAAAAAAUCAGCAACAACUUCCGUCCUUGUGCCAUUGAGUAGUGAUUUCCGGCGAGGUUCUCGAUUGAGGUGGUAAUCAGUCAUAGAUUCGGCCAACAGUCCAAGUCAUUUUCCCUUUUUCAAACACCUUGGGCUUCAAUGUACUCUUCAUUGAGUUAUCUUCAUUAAUACCAAGCAGAAAGGUGCAAGCUUGUGACAAGCUCUGCAGAUAUUAUCUGUUCUUUGCGGCCAAGGGCAGAGCUAGGUGGACGGAAGGUGGUGUUAGAACAUACGUAGCGGAAACAACCAUACAAACCAGGCAUCAAAUAUAUGUGAACUAGACAACGCAACAAUAACGAGAUUAGAAGCACUAACCUCUUGAAGUAGUUGCACAGACCUUCCAAGCAGCGAGAAUCCAGGGUUGCAGUCUUCUGCUAUUUGCCUAGUAAAACCUUGGACGAUUUUGCUAUUGGGUGGGCAAGAACCAUACAACUGAAAGGUAAGUUAUUAGGUGAAACAAGUUUUCCUUUAAUAGACCCGAAAUUAAGCCAUAAUAGUGGCUCAAAAACGUAUAGGAUUCUGCAAGUAGAAUCCUACUCUUAACUCAAAAGGAUAACUUUUCUCCCAAGCUACCUUUAACCCAAGUCUUUCCAGGUUUUUACUAGGUAUAGCAGGGACCACAGAAAUAAUAAGAGGCUACUAAUUAUAGUAUUAAUUCGAAAUUAGCAUGAAUUAAUUCUUACUAUAAUUAAUUGCAAUUUAUUUCACUAAAAAACUGCAAUUAAACUCCUCAAUAUGAAUUUCGAAAAUUCAUUAACACUUAUUUUAACUUCUCAUGUUAAG